rnacentral:rRNA from 1 species
CGGACCGGCGCACGGGUGAGUAACGCGUAUGUAAUCUACCUGUAACAGAGGGAUAACCCGGAGAAAUCCGGACUAAUACCUCAUAGCACAUACUAUUCGCAUGAAUUUUAUGUUAAAGAGACUCGGUUACAGAUGAACAUGCGUUCCAUUAGCUAGUUGGCGGGGUUACGGCCCACCAAGGCAACGAUGGAUAGGGGUUCUGAGAGGAAGGUCCCCCACACUGGUACUGAGACACGGACCAG